UACGUAGGGUGCAAGCGUUGUCCGGAAUUAUUGGGCGUAAAGAGCUCGUAGGCGGUUUGUCGCGUCUGCUGUGAAAACUCGGGGCUUAACUCCGGGCCUGCAGUGGGUACGGGCAGACUAGAGUGCGGUAGGGGAGACUGGAAUUCCUGGUGUAGCGGUGAAAUGCGCAGAUAUCAGGAGGAACACCGAUGGCGAAGGCAGCACUCUGGGACGGUACUGACGCUGAGACGCGAAAGCGUGGGGAGCGAACAGG
rnacentral:rRNA from 1 species